ACUUGUACAGUAUUUAGGAGGUACUAGAUGUAAACGGAAAUCCUGGUUAUUAUUUUUAUCACAGGAUGGUAAGAUGCAUGACAGAAAUAGAGUCAGUCUAUCAUCAAGGCUUCAAGUGGUGGUUCAAAAACCACCAGGGGCCGGGAGUUCAGAAGGGAUGUCUGUGUUCCUGAGAAGAAAUGUGGGCGGGAACCGUGGCAAGAAGUUAUUUCGCCUCCGUCUGACUUUGUUUAUAGCAGCUGACUGCAUAAGAAGAGCAGGAUGGCUGGGAGAUGGAAGGAUGAGCAUGAGCUGCACAAAGCCAGCUGUGCCUUCUCGCAGAUCGGCACUGAAAGAUGCAUUACAGUGCAUGAAUGUUCUACACACCACUCUCCCCUUUGUCACCUGGCAGUUGAGGAGCCUCGGAUCCAAGGAGGUGGUGACUUGGCGUACAUCUCACAGCUGGUCCAUGGCAAGGCCAGGACUGAAGCUGGACCUUUAUCACCCAGGUCUUUGACUGUAGACUCUGACCUGCGCCUCCCCUCCCCACUCUGCUGUCCAGUGUGUCAACCAGGGCAGACAGGAGGGAGGGCUUCCUUCCUCCCCACGAGCUCCAGAAUGUGUCCACCAAGAAUGGAGACCGUCUCACCAUUGGAGGGACCAAGCCUGCUGCUGCCCAGGAGUGAUAUUUACAAUAUUCAACAAUCCACAUCAACAUUAAUCAAUAUUCAAAAGUGAGACAAUUGUGGGACCAAAACAGCUAAUAGCAUCACCAUCUCGCUGUCCCGGGCUGCCCCCAGCUGGCUGCCCCAGAGUCUGACCCUCUCCUCCUCCAUCUCUCUCCUCUUGCUCUUGUGGAUCUGCAUUGUUUGUCUUUGUUCCAAAUACUCCCAUCUGAGUCCUGCACCUCAGUACCAAUGAACCGUAAAGGAUGCCAGCUGCUGUCACCUGGCUGGGCCGCUCAGGUGCCUACCUGUGGUACACUCCUCAUUUCACCAGGCAGAUGCCCUACACUGCCUCUGAGCCUCAGGAGUUUGGUGACAUUCUUAUUUUGGCUCCCUUCUUGCCCACAAUGGGGGGAGGGUGGUGCUGGACAAAGAUGACUGGCCUGUGCCAGGGCUCCUCUGCUUCCAGAGCCAUGGAUCUGCCUGCAUCACUGAUGAGCACAGGUGGAUGUGCAGAAGGCAGCCUCCCCUCCCCAAGCCCCACUCUAGACAGGAUCCAGGCUCAAGAUGGAAGCCAGGGGUGGCUUCAUGGGCAUGCAACCCAUGUGCUCACAUGGGGCCCACCCUCAGAAGGGCUCUGCGCUUGGUCUUAUGCUCUGCUGUUGCCAUCCUGAAAUACAUAACAGUUUUUG